rnacentral:rRNA from 1 species
UACCUGGUUGAUCCUGCCAGUAGUGUAUGCUUCUCCUAAAGACUAAGCCAUGCAUGCCUUCGAAUACGAGGAAGCAAUUCUCUCUGAAUCUGCGAACGGCUCCGCAAACCAGUUGUAAACUAUAGCAAGCAAGCCCGUGCCCUCUCGGGGGUGCGGGCAACACGGAUAACCCUGGUAAUUCUGAGGCUAAUACGAGAACGUACUCCCCGGUCAACCGGGCAACUGGAAGGCUGGGAGGUGUGUGAUUGAGCACGAGGAAUCUGCUGGGAAUAGACACACGCCUGGACCGCGCCAAAAACGGAUGGGCUUCCUUCACGGGUCGCCCUGCCCGAGCGGCUCUUGCUUUGUGCUUCUGACCUAUCAACUAGAUGGCAGCGUAACGGACAUGCUAUGGUUACAACGGGUACAGAGGAUAAGGGUUCGAUCCUGGAGAGUGGGCCUGAGAGAUUGCUCAUACUUCUAAGGAAGGCAGCAGGCGCGCAACGUUCCCCUUGUACAAUGUAUGAGGGCGUUAGGGGACAUAUGAAUGUCUGCCCUAUGGGUGGACAAUUCAAAUGGGUCUGUUGUAAACAGGCUCUCGAGUAACAAUUAGAGGACAAGUCUGGUGCCAGCACCCGCGGUAAUUCCAGCUCUAAUAGCAUACGUUAAAGUUGUUGCGGUUAAAACGCUCGUAGUCGGCUUAAGGCCAUCAGAUUCCUGAUCUGCGAGUCCGGGUCCGCUGCCUUUCGGGGCGCGCUGGGCGAGUGGUGAUGGAGGGCGGUGGCCAAGCGUGCCUCUGGUCGUCUUUCGGGUCACAGGGUCCGGUUCUGCCGGGCUCGGCUGGGGGUGCCACUUACCAUGAUUAAACUGGGUUGAUCAAGUAAGGUCGUUCGAAUCUUGCACAGCACAGCAUGGUAUAAAUUUAGCCUGUUUGGUCCUUCCUCGCGGGGGCUGGGCGGGCAGAAGCGAUAGGGGUGUUCGAGGGUGACCGAAUUGCCGGGCGAGUGGUGAAAUACGUUGACCCUGGCAAGUCGACCAAAGGCGAAAGCAGUUAUCAAGGGCACACCCGUUGAUCAAGAGCGAAAGUUAAGGGUUCGAAGACGAUCAGAUACCGUCGUAGUCUUAACUAUAAAUGAUACUGACCAGGGAUAGACUCUGUCCAUCUCGACUUCUUCUGGACCUUGGAGAAAUUACAGUCUUUGAGUUCUGGGGGGAGUAUGGUCGCAAGGCUGAAACUUAAAGGAAUUGACGGAAGGGCACACAAAGAGUGGAACCUGCGGCUAAUUUGACUCAACACGGGAAAACUCACCAGGUCCAGAUACACGUAUGAAAGACAAGCUGAAAGACUUUUCUCAAUGAUGUAAGUGGUGGUGCAUGGUCGUUCUUAGUUCGUGGAUUGAUUUGUCUGGUCUAUUCCGAUAACGAGCGAGACCCCUACGUUCCUAAUAGGGGCGGCAGCCCGGCUUUGCCCUUCGCGGGCUUCGCUAGCAGCCGCCUAAUUAACUUCUUAGACGUAUCAGAGCCGAUAAGGUUCUUGAAAUGGGUUAAUAACAGGUCAGUCAUGCCCUUAGAUGUUCUGGGCCGCACGCGCGUUACAAUGGUAUACAGUAGAACGUGCCCAUUCGGGCUUCUCCGCGGCCUACUGGCGUAAUCCUUAAUCUCUCCCUUGACUGGGACAGACUAUUGCAAUUAUUGGUCUCCAACGAGGAAUUUUUAGUAGUCGCAGGUCAUUAACCUGCGACGAAUGCGUCCCUGCCCUUUGUACACACCGCCCGUCGCUGCUACCGAUUGGGUUUUGCGGUUACGAGUUCGGAGGCAGCGGUUACUCGCCCCGCAAGGGCGAUAGCAGCAGCCAAAGUUCUAAUUACCGCACGGCCUAGAGGACGCAGAAGUCGUAACAAGGUAAUCGUAGGUGAACCUGCGUUUGGAUCAUUACUAACCUGAUUUUCCCUAGCAAUGGGGGGGGUUGGGUUUAAAACCGGAACAAAAAAAGACCA